CAGCAGCCGCGGUAACACGUAGGACGCAAGCGUUAUCCGGAAUUACUGGGCGUAAAGGGCGUGUAGGCGGCACGGUAAGUCAACCGUGAAAGCUCCCGGCUAAACUGGGAGAGGUCGGAUGAGACUGCCGAGCUAGAGGGUCGUAGAGGGGUGUGGAAUUCCGGGUGUAGUGGUGAAAUGCGUAGAGAUCCGGAGGAACACCAGAGGCGAAGGCGGCACCCUGGACGACACCAGACGCUGAGACGCGACAGCACGGGGAGCGAACGGG
rnacentral:rRNA from 1 species